rnacentral:rRNA from 1 species
CCUACGGUGGGCAGCAGUGGGGGAUAUUGCACAAUGGGGGGAACCCUGAUGCAGCGACGCCGCGUGGGUGAAGAAGCGCCUCGGCGCGUAAAGCCCUGUCAGCAGGGAAGGAAAUGACGGUACCUGUAGAAGAAGCCCCGGCUAACUACGUGCCAGCAGCAGCGGUAAUACGUCGGGGGCCAGCGUUAUCCGGAUUUACUGGGGGUAAAGGGGGAGCAGACGGCGUUGCAAGCCAGGAGUGAAAGACUGGGGCCAAACCCCGGGACUGCGCUUGGAACUGCGUGGCUGGAGUGCAGGAGGGGCAGGCGGAAUUCCUGGUGUAGCGGUGAAAUGCGUAGAUAUCAGGAGGAACACCGGUGGCGAAGGCGGCCUGCUGGUCUGCAACUGACGUUGAGGCCCGAAAGCGUGGGGAGCAAACAGGAUUAGAUACCCUAGUAGUC